GGGUUGUGAGGUUAAGCGACUAAGCGUACACGGUGGAUGCCCUGGCAGUCAGAGGCGAUGAAGGGCGUGCUAAUCUGCGAUAAGCGCCGGUAAGGUGAUAUGAACCGUUAUAACCGGCGAUACCCGAAUGGGGAAACCCAGUGUGACUCGUCACACUAUCAUUAACUGAAUCCAUAGGUUAAUGAGGCGAACCGGGGGAACUGAAACAUCUAAGUACCCCGAGGAAAAGAAAUCAACCGAGAUUCCCCCAGUAGCGGCGAGCGAACGGGGAGGAGCCCAGAGCCUGAAUCAGCAUGUGUGUUAGUGGAAGCGUCUGGAAAGGCGCGCGAUACAGGGUGACAGCCCCGUACACAAAAGCGCACAUGCUGUGAGCUCGAUGAGUAGGGCGGGACACGUGGUAUCCUGUCUGAAUAUGGGGGGACCAUCCUCCAAGGCUAAAUACUCCUGACUGACCGAUAGUGAACCAGUACCGUGAGGGAAAGGCGAAAAGAACCCCGGCGAGGGGAGUGAAAAAGAACCUGAAACCGUGUACGUACAAGCAGUGGGAGCACCCUUUGGGGUGUGACUGCGUACCUUUUGUAUAAUGGGUCAGCGACUUAUAUUCUGUAGCAAGGUUAACCGAAUAGGGGAGCCG
rnacentral:rRNA from 1 species